GACGAACCGUGCAAACGUUAUUCGGAAUCACUGGGCUUAAAGGGCGCGUAGGCGGACAGUCAAGUCAGGGGUGAAAGCCCACGGCUCAACCGUGGAAGUGCCUUUGAUACUGGCAGUCUCGAGGGAGGUAGGGGCGUGCGGAACUCAGGGUGGAGCGGUGAAAUGCGUAGAUAUCCUGAGGAACACCGGUGGCGAAAGCGGCGCGCUGGAUCUCUUCUGACGCUGAGGCGCGAAAGCCAGGGGAGCAAACGGG
rnacentral:rRNA from 1 species